rnacentral:rRNA from 1 species
AUUGAACGCUGGCGGCAGGCCUAACACAUGCAAGUCGAGCGGAGCGGCGGACGGGUGCGUAAUGCUUAGGAAUCUGCAUGGUCGUGGGGGAUAACGUCCGGAAAUGGGCGCUAAUACUGCAUCCUCUCACCUGAGCCUAGGGCGGAUUAGCGAGUUGGUGGGGGAAAGGCAUACCAAGGCGACGAUCCGUAACUGGUCUGAGAGGAUGAUCAGUCACACUGGAACUGAGACACGGUCCAGACUCCUACGGGAGGCAGCAGUGGGGAAUAUUGGACAAUGGGCGAAAGCCUGAUCCAGCCAUGCCGCGUGUAUGAAGAAGGUCUUCGGAUUGUAAAGCACUUUAAGUGGGGAGGUGUUACCAGCAGAAGAAGCACCGGCUAACUCCGUGCCAGCAGCCGCGGUAAUAC